GCUGCUCUAUUGCAUUACAGUGCUCAGUCCUAGGAUUUUUAUCAGUUUUUCCAGGGAGUAUUUCUUGUUGCCUCUUGACACUCUCAACUGUUUGAGCAAGCUGAACAUCGAUCUUUCUUAUAUGGAUCGCAAGAUUGUCAUACUUGUUAUUCAGCUCAGUGAACAUGUUGCCCAUCCUGGUGUCUAUUUCCGUGGUUACCUGAUUCAACGCCUUGGCCUGAACUUGCUGACCCUGCAACAGCUGUUGCAUCAUCAUACCCAGACCCUUCAGCUCAUCUGGUUGACUGUUCCCGUUAGCUGGAACA
rnacentral:lncRNA from 1 species